rnacentral:rRNA from 1 species
GAUGAACGCUGGCGGCGUGCCUAAUACAUGCAAGUCGAGCGAACAGACGAGGAGCUUGCGCCUCUGACGUUAGCGGCGGACGUGUGAGUAACACGUGGAUAACCUACCUAUAAGACUGGUAUAACUUCGGGAAACCGGAGCUAAUACCGGAGAAUAUAUUGAACCGCAUUGGUCAAUAGUGAAAGACGGCGGUUCUGUCACUUAUAGAGGGAUCCGCGCCGCAUUAGCUAGUUGGUAAGGUAACGGGUUACCAAGGGAACGAUGCGUAGCCGACCUGAGAGGGUGAUCGGCCACACUGGAACUGAGACGCGGUCCAGACUCCUACGGGAGGCAGCAGUAGGGAAUCUUACGCAAUGGGCGAAAGCCUGACGGAGCAACGCCGCGUGAGUGAUGACGGUCUUCGGAUCGUAAAACUCUGUUAUUAGGGAAGAACAAAUGUGUACGUAACUAUGCACGUCUUGACGGUACCUAAUCAGAAAGCCACGGCUAACUACGUG